rnacentral:rRNA from 1 species
AGUGAACGCUGGCGGUAGGCCUAACACAUGCAAGUCGAACGGCAGCACAGUAAGAGCUUGCUCUUACGGGUGGCGAGUGGCGGACGGGUGAGGAAUACAUCGGAAUCUACUUUUUCGUGGGGGAUAACGUAGGGAAACUUACGCUAAUACCGCAUACGACCUACGGGUGAAAGCAGGGGAUCUUCGGACCUUGCGCGAUUGAAUGAGCCGAUGUCGGAUUAGCUAGUUGGCGGGGUAAAGGCCCACCAAGGCGACGAUCCGUAGCUGGUCUGAGAGGAUGAUCAGCCACACUGGAACUGAGACACGGUCCAGACUCCUACGGGAGGCAGCAGUGGGGAAUAUUGGGCAAUGGGCGCAAGCCUGAUCCAGCCAUACCGCGUGGGUGAAGAAGGCCUUCGGGUUGUAAAGCCCUUUUGUUGGGAAAGAAAAGCAGCAGGAUAAUACCCCGCUGUUCUGACGGUACCCAAAGAAUAAGCACCGGCUAACUUCGUG